AUUGAACGCUGGCGGAAUGCUUUACACAUGCAAGUCGAACGGUAGAGGGGGCAACCCCUUGAGAGUGGCGAACGGGUGAGUAAUAUAUCGGAACGUGCCCAGUCGUGGGGAUAACGUAGCGAAAGUUACGCUAAUACCGCAUACGAUCUAAGGAUGAAAGCGGGGGAUCGCAAGACCUCGCGCGAUUGGAGCGGCCGAUAUCAGAUUAGGUAGUUGGUGAGGUAAAGGCUCAUCAAGCCAACGAUCUGUAGCUGGUCUGAGAGGACGACCAGCCACACUGGAACUGAGACACGGUCCAGACUCCUACGGGAGGCAGCAGUGGGGAAUUUUUGGACAAUGGACGCAAGUCUGAUCCAGCCAUUCCGCGUGCAGGAUGAAGGCCCUCGGGUUGUAAACUGCUUUUGUACGGAACGAAAGGUUUCUAUUAAUACUAGGAGCUCAUGACGGUACCGUAAGAAUAAGCACCGGCUAACUACGUGCCA
rnacentral:rRNA from 1 species